rnacentral:rRNA from 1 species
AUUGAACGCUGGCGGCAUGCCUUACACAUGCAAGUCGAACGGCAGCACGGGAGCAAUCCUGGUGGCGAGUGGCGAACGGGUGAGUAAAGUAUCGGAGCGUGCCCAGUCGUGGGGGAUAACGUAGCGAAAGUUACGCUAAUACCGCAUACGAUCUAUGGAUGAAAGCGGGGGAUCGCAAGACCUCGCGCGAUUGGAGCGGCCGAAAUCAGAUUAGGUAGUUGGGGGGGUAAAGGCUCACCAAGCCGACGAUCUGUAGCUGGUCUGAGAGGACGACCAGCCACACUGGGACUGAGACACGGCCCAGACUCCUACGGGAGGCAGCAGUGGGGAAUUUUGGACAAUGGGCGAAAGCCUGAUCCAGCCAUGCCGCGUGCAGGAUGAAGGCCUUCGGGUUGUAAACUGCUUUUGUACGGAACGAAAAGGUUUGGCCUAAUAAGCUGAGCUCAUGACGGUACCGUAAGAAUAAGCACCGGCUAACUACGUGCCAGCCGCCGCUGUAAUAC